rnacentral:rRNA from 1 species
UACAGAGGUCCCGAGCGUUGUUCGGAUUCACUGGGCGUAAAGGGUGCGUAGGUGGCCUGAAAAGUUUGAUGUGAAAGCUCAGGGCUUAACCCUGAAAUGGCAUUGAAUACUGUCGGGCUGGAGGUUUGGAGGGGGGACUGGAAUUCUUGGUGUAGCAGUGAAAUGCGUAGAUAUCAAGAGGAACACCAGUGGCGAAGGCAGGUCUCUGGGCAUUAACUGACGCUGAGGAGCGAAAGCAUGGGGAGCGAACAGG